rnacentral:rRNA from 1 species
AACGAACGCUGGCGGCAUGCCUAACACAUGCAAGUCGAACGAGACCUUCGGGUCUAGUGGCGCACGGGUGCGUAACGCGUGGGAAUCUGCCCUUGGGUUCGGAAUAACAGUUAGAAAUGACUGCUAAUACCGGAUAAUGUCUUCGGACCAAAGAUUUAUCGCCCAGGGAUGAGCCCGCGUAGGAUUAGCUAGUUGGUGAGGUAAAGGCUCACCAAGGCGACGAUCAGUAGCUGGUUUGAGAGAACGACCAGCCACACUGGAACUGAGACACGGUCCAGACUCCUACGGGAGGCAGCAGUGGGGAAUUUUGGACAAUGGGGGGCAACCCUGAUCCAGCAAUGCCGCGUGAGUGAAGAAGGCCUCGGUUGUAAGCUCUUUGUUCAGGGAAGAAACGGUAGAGUUCUAAUACAGCUUGCUAAUGACGGUACCUGAAGAAUAAGCACCGGCUAACUACGUGCCAGCAGCCGCGGUAAU